rnacentral:rRNA from 1 species
UACGAGGGGGGCAAAUGUUGUUCGGAAUCACUGGGCGUAAAGGGUGCGUAGGCGGCUUGGUGGGUCUGGUGUGAAAUCUCGGGGCUUAACUCGGAAAGGUCAACUGAUACUGUGCGACUAGAGUGCAGAAGGGGCAACUGGAAUUCUCGGUGUAGCGGUGAAAUGCGUAGAGAUCCGGAGGAACCCCAGAGGCGAAGGCGGCGCCCUGGCUCGACACUGACGCUCAGACACGACAGCAUGGGGAGCGAACGGG